rnacentral:RNase_MRP_RNA from 1 species
ACCUCUCAAGCUCACAAGAAUCGUCGUCGCAGCUCACGCACAGGUCGACGAGUGGAUUCUGUCCAUCUCGCUCGUACCAUCUUCUCGCUGUGGGAAAAGUCCCCGGAGCCGCGAUGCUUUUCAGCUCGAGUCGCCGUCGGAUGCAAGUCACUCGACGAUCCCUCAAAAUUGGAAAGCGACCUCGCCCAAGAUCGAGGUGCUGAGGGAGUCCGUCGAGAUUGAUAGCACCGACCGGCUGUUGCCGACUCGAAGCUGAGCUCGCCAAGGGGCCGCUUUAUUCACCUGGCAGUCUUAGGCGAAGAUAUGAGCCAAGUCCAGUGACGAAAGUGGCUCCUUGCCGUUCUGCUCAUAGCCAUAGUUAUACGAUUUGCCCGAUAUGAUCCACCACUUUGGUGGAUUGAGGGUAACACGAUGGGGCUUACUCUGUGGUUUGGAGG